UAUAAGACUGGGAUAACGUUCGGGAAACCGGAGCUAAUACCGGAUAAUAUAUUGAACCGCAUGGUUCAAUAGUGAAAGACGGUUUUGCUGUCACUUAUAGAUGGAUCCGCGCCGCAUUAGCUAGUUGGUAAGGUAACGGCUUACCAAGGCAACGAUGCGUAGCCGACCUGAGAGGGUGAUCUGCCACACUGGAACUGAGACACGGUCCAGACUCCUACGGGAGGCAGCAGGC
rnacentral:rRNA from 1 species